GUAUAUGGCCUAAAUAACCCAAAGGCACCAAAUCCAGCCUGAUCUUGGUUGCUAAGUAGGGGCAUCCCUGGUUAGCACUUGGAUGAGAGACCCACUAACGAAUACCAGAUGUUCAAACC
rnacentral:rRNA from 11 species